UGAACAUGAUUUUUGGUUUGUUCAAUAGUUUUUAGCAGUCACAACUUGCUAUUAAGUUUUGAAGAAUUCAAUGAUAAUUUUUCAAAUUUUUAGGGACCAAGAUCCCUUUUAACUCCUGUUAGUUCUACUAAGCUUUUGAAUUUCUUUUUCUCUUUGGUAAGUCGUAAGUGGAAUUGAGAUUAAUGUCAACCGAGAUUUUAACAUAAAUUAUUUGUCACUAUGCCUAUGGUUGAUUCAACUUACGUCAUAAGUGCAAAGUUUGAAGGUAUCUUUUCAUGGUUUGCUUCUGAAAAUUCAUGAUAAAUGAUAGUGCGGGUGUUAAAAUAGUUUGUUUGCAGCCCUGAUUGGCCUUUUUGGGUAGGGAUCAAGGUUUCAAGUUGAACACCAAAAAGUUGGUUUUUGGAGGAAUCUGGAUUGAGACAUAUCAGGCGCUUAGCUUUCAGUGGUUGCCCUCAUAGAUACGGCACAGGAUUCUGCUCAAACAGACUGCGCAUGGUGUCAUACACGGCACAGAUUUCUGUUCAAAGAGGCUGCGGAUAGUGUCAGCUAUCGGGUUUUGUUGGUUAUUAUGUGUUGUGUUCUUGGAAUGUGCUUCGGCAUAUCCCGGAGAAUUUUUGAGCCCUUCCUAGUUUAAAUUCAAUAUCACUACCAGUUGCAGUUGGUUUGUGUUUUUUUUUUUUCAAUGAAAAUAUUCUAAUAUAUGAAAAGCUAUUUACAAACAAUAAGAGACAAGGUUGUAAAAAAAAACGAAAGCAAAAGCUUCAA
rnacentral:lncRNA from 1 species